GCGUGCAGAUGUUCUCGCCAAAACAAGCGC
rnacentral:sRNA from 1 species